rnacentral:rRNA from 1 species
UACAGAGGGUGCGAGCGUUAAUCGGAAUUACUGGGCGUAAAGCGUGCGUAGACGGCUAUCUAAGUCGGGUGUGAAAGCCCCGGGCUCAACCUGGGAAUUGCAUUCGAGACUGAAUAGCUAGGGUACGGUAGAGGGAAGUGGAAUUUCCGGUGUAGCGGUGAAAUGCGUAGAUAUCGGAAGGAACAUCAGUGGCGAAAGCGACUUCCUGGCUCGAUACUGACACUGAGGCACGAAAGCGUGGGGAGCAAACAGG